rnacentral:rRNA from 1 species
ACGCUAGCGAUAGGCUUAACACAUGCAAGUCGAGGGGCAGCAUGGUCUUAGCUUGCUAAGACUGAUGGCGACCGGCGCACGGGUGCGUAACGCGUAUGCAACUUGCCUCACUGAGGGGGAUAACCCGUCGAAAGACGGACUAAUACCGCGUACACUCUAUGUUGGGCAUCCAAUGUAGAGGAAAUGAACUUCGCUGUGAGAUAGGCAUGCGUCCCAUUAGCUAGUUGGUGAGGUAACAGCUCACCAAGGCGACGAUGGGUAGGGGAACUGAGAGGUUGAACCCCCACACUGGUACUGAGACACGGACCAGACUCCUACGGGAGGCAGCAGUGAGGAAUAUUGGUCAAUGGGCGAGAGCCUGAACCAGCCAAGUCGCGUGAAGGAUGACUGUCUUAUGGAUUGUAAACUUCUUUUAUACGGGAAUAACAAGAGUCACGUGUGGCUCCCUGCAUGUACCGUAUGAAUAAGCAUCGGCUAACUCCGUGCCAGCAGCCGCGGUAAUACGGAGGAUGCGAGCGUUAUCCGGAUUUAUUGGGUUUAAAGGGUGCGUAGGCGGCCUGUUAAGUCAGCGGUGAAAUCUAGGAGCUUAACUCCUAAAUUGCCAUUGAUACUGGCGGGCUUGAGUGUAGAUGAGGUAGGCGGAAUGCGUGGUGUAGCGGUGGAAUGCAUAGAUAUCACGCAGAACUCCGAUUGCGAAGGCAGCUUACUAAGGUACAACUGACGCUGAAGCACGAAAGCGUGGGUAUCAAACAGGAUUAGAUACCCUGGUAGUCCACGCAGUAAACGAUGAUAACUGGGCGUAUGCGAUAUACAGUAUGCUCCUAAGCGAAAGCGUUAAGUUAUCCACCUGGGGAGUACUCCGGCAACGGUGAAACUCAAAGGAAUUGACGGGGGCCCGCACAAGCGGAGG